AAUAAACAAGAGCCCUAACGGUGACCAGCGAUGUGUUUUAGAAGUUAAACAAGUUGUUUAAAGUCCGAGUUUCUAUUAGUUAGAUUUGAUUAUUAAAUCUUUUUAUUUUGCCUCGCUGGAUGCGUAUAGUUGUGGACCGCAGAUGCACAGAUGUUGUUUUUAUUUUCAUUGAUCAAAACGGAGAUUCUGUGUGAGCGGGUUCAAGCUAACGGCUAGGCUAACCGCUAAAGCUAACGGCUAAGCUAACGGACGGGCUAGCGUCCUCACGGCCUGAGUGGACUUUUUAGCGGACAGACUGAGGUGUUUCUGGACCAGGAGUUACCUGCCGCCCCUCAGACCUGCGGUUCUUUUACCGGGACCUUGGAUUGUUUGUCGGCGGACCGCUGGCUUUCACACACCGGGCUGUGAACUCCGCUACGGGGAUCCUGUUGGCUGCUAACUGAGACAUUUGCUGACGGUGGAGGAGAUCAACUACUCCGUGGGCUGCUUCCUGUAAAUCACCGUGGGGUUUUCCACUCACGACCAUCUGGAGAUCAACUCACAGGCCUGCAACGUUUUGAGGUCUCCAGUGGAACGGUUCCACGACUACAGUGUCAGUGAUGUGACCUUCAACCCCCAUGGAGCUCCGCCUGCCUCCAGGAAGAAGAUAAAAAAACUCCUUGAUUCGUCUUCGGGGCUUUUUAUCGGCGCCGAGAGACAAACAGAAUGUGGAUGUUCAGCAGAAACUCCGUCUGAAUGGUUGUGAUCGUCCUCUGAGGAUGGGAGGUGUAAUCCGUCUGAAGGAGGAGGUUUAGGAGGACGUCAGGUGGCUCAGAUGGAGCUCCAGAUCUGCUGUUUGGCAGAAGAACCGAAGCGUCGGCCGUUUGGAGGUCAAGAGGUUGUUGGGCUGCUGGUUGGAACCAAACAGGAAGCACUCGAACCUCAGCGAGCAGAUUUAUCUCCAGUGCCAAGGCUUUGUCUGUUUCCAACACCAAUGACAAUAUAAACUGGAUAAAUCUGCCUUUCAUCAGGAUGAUCUGGGGCUGACGAAGAAGAAGCUUUUUCUGCUGUUAAAUCUGAAUAAACCCAGAAUAGACAGGAUUUAGUCUGUUAAAAAACGUUACAAGCAGCGAUGCCAGAAAACUUUAAAAACUGUGAAACUUACCGCAAACGUCUGUUAAAUAAAGAGAUUUAUAGCCGA